rnacentral:rRNA from 1 species
GAUGAACGCUGGCGGCGUGCCUAAUACAUGCAAGUCGAGCGAACGGACGAGAAGCUUGCUUCUCUGAUGUUAGCGGCGGACGGGUGAGUAACACGUGGAUAACCUACCUAUAAGACUGGGAUAACUUCGGGAAACCGGAGCUAAUACCGGAUGAUAUUUUGAACCGCAUGGUUCAAUAGUGAAAGACGGUUUUGCUGUCACUUAUAGAUGGAUCCGCGCCGCAUUAGCUAGUUGGUAAGGUAAAGGCUUACCAAGGCAACGAUGCGUAGCCGACCUGAGAGGGUGAUCGGCCACACUGGAACUGAGACACGGUCCAGACUCCUACGGGAGGCAGCAGUAGGGAAUCUUCCGCAAUGGGCGAAAGCUUGACGGAGCAACGCCGCGUGAGUGAUGAAGGUCUUCGGAUCGUAAAACUCUGUUAUUAGGGAAGAACAAAUGUGUAAGUAACUAUGCACGUCUUGACGGUACCUAAUCAGAAAGCCACGGCUAACUACGUG